rnacentral:lncRNA from 1 species
UCUCUCUCUCUAGGAUCUUUCUCUCUCUACAAGUAUUUGCCGAUUUCGCUCGUUUUCGUCGUCGCGCGCGUUCUUCGCUGGUUGCGAGCGUCGCAGCGCCUUUGUGCACGUGCAAGAGAGCGUUUUGGAGGGAUUUUUGCAGCCCUGGACCAGUAAGGUGCUGGUUGCAAGCUUGAGAAGGUAUACGACUCGAUUUUUUCCGUUAUCGGCGCUCUAUUAGUCGAUUUGAGUAUCGAUUUCAGGAUUUUGCUUCCAACUAUUUUAACCUGAGUUUUCAGCAUGUAAAAAUGAGUUAAGUAGCUGUGAAUUAAUCUUCUUAGACCAGGGAUAAGCCACUUUGAAGCUUAAUUGGUAUAUUUAGCCAUUUAUGAAGCUAAACACGUACCGGAAAUGCAAUUGUUUGAGCGAAUUGAUGCAAAUUGGCGAUUUUUCUUCGCAGCAGGUCUUCAAGCUUCAUUGAGCUGAAUUCGUACUCUUAGAAGCUGAUUUGGAAGCUGCUCUAAUCAAGGGUAAGCAGGAAAUUCCGUUAGAAAGUCAAUUUCGCAAGAAUUGAACUAUAUAAGCUCAUAUACAAGUAUUUUGACGCCGUUUCGAUGUUGUUCGCAGCGAGAGUGCGAUUGAGCCUUGGAUCGUGUUAGUUGACUUGGGAGAGCUCUUGGAGACUCUUCUUGAGGUAUUUAUUGAGCCAAAACAGGGAUUUAAGCUAUUCCUAUGUACUAAGUGCAAUUGCGCCGAAAUUGGACAUUUCGAUCGUAGUUUUGAUACGAUAUUUAUGCUUCGUGUUCAGCAGGAUUGAGACCUAGUGGAGCUGAUCCUGAGGAUUCCUUUGGACUGAUUUGAGCUUAGCACGAGGUGGGUCAGACCUAACCAGAGCAAGUGGAGCUCCCCUAUGUUCUAUAUGUAUUUACAGAAUAGAAUAAUCGCAUAGGUGCAUUGAGUGCAUAUGUGACUGAUAGAGAAUUGGAAACAUAUCAUUGUGAUAUUUGAUGAUUAAGUAGAAUGAAAUCUCUAUAAAAUAGAGAACAUAUAUGCAUGAAAGUACUUAUAUUCAUAUUCAAUUCAGUUGAAUGACUUAUGAACAAUAGAGAACAAUGACAUGCUCUUGACUCUAAAGUAGAGAACUAUGACUAUGUUGAUAGUGUCAUAAUAGUGGAAAGAUUAUAAUGCCAUGUGAUUUAGCAUUACCCUUACAUGUUUACAAUCUAGUGGAUACUAGUUCUUGUUACUAUUUGUGUAUUGAAAUUCCGAUCUGAGGAUCGAGGGUAAGAACAUUGCAAAUGAAAAUAUGCUAAUUGAGACCUGUGGACUGUGAAAUAUGCUUGCUUGCCAUCGUGCUCAUUCGCACACGCUUGUGAGGGUCGCUCCCUACAAGCCGGCACUCCGGAGUUGGCCUACGCGACAGUUGCUCGCCCGUGCGGGAUUGGGUGCCGAAGUGGAUUGCCGUGGGGAGUGUAUACUACCACGGGGCCAUUAGGCGCGGCGCAAGCUGGACUACCUUGAGUAGGUCCCUGUGAAUGAAAGGAAAGUGCUAAAGGAAAUUGGACAGUAAUGAAUGAUUACCAGUUACAGUGUACAGUAGUUACUUACACACUUAUGCUAUGUUUAUGCUUAUAGUAGUAGCCAUGCUUCUAUCAUUCAGUUGAUUCAUUACUGUUGAUGCUAUGAUCACAUGUUGUUUACAUGUUCAUUAUUUGUUAACAUUGGCUUAUGAAUUGUUAGCAUUGAAAAUAUAUCAUGCAAAUUACUGCUUUUAUUUCCAUUCUGUACAUCUUGAGCCUAGUGGUGUAAUUCGCCGAGGCUGGCGGCUUACCCACUGGGAACUAUUGUUAAUAGUUCUCACGCCCUUUUGGUGGUUGUUUUUACAGAGCCAUCUACAGGAGAGGCUAGGGAUCGUGGCAAGGGAGUCGCGUCUAGCUAGACUUUGCUAGGAGCGUGCUAGUCGAUCACCUUGCUACUCGGGCUACGGCCGAGGGUGAUGUCCAUUGUAUCGAGUGACUACCUUUGUACAGAUGUUUUUGUAUACCCUAUAUUGUAUAUAGGUUGUAGAUCCAGAUGUUAUAGUUCUUACUUCUUCUCCUUUUGUUGGGAUUUUGGAUUGUAUACUCUCUGUUCUUUUACUGAUUGUAAAUCGACUUGUACAUUGCUCUGAUAUUAGGAUAGGACUCUCUUUGUUUUACUUCCUAUCGACUUGCUUUCUUCGUAGACGCCUUAUAUACUGCAGGUGUAUGGCGGGUCUGUGCACGUACCGGAUAUGCUUCCGCUGGUAUCCGGGCGUGACAUCGAGUCUACGCUUGCGAGCGAGAGACGUCGAGUAUUAAGACGGGUUUAGGCUGUAGGCCUACGAAAAGUGGAGGAAAGUGAUUUGGCGAGUAGCCUUAUCGGGGAGUUUGACUUGAUUUCACAAACGACGUGUUCAUGUGAGCUCUUUGCGAAAGUGAUAAGACGUUGGC